GACGAACGCUGGCGGCGUGCCUAAUACAUGCAAGUCGAGCGCUGAAGGUUGGUUCUUGUACCGACUGGAUGUGCAGCGCACGGGUGUGUCACGCGUGUGGAAUCUGCCUUUGUGUGGGGGACCACAUUUGGACACGAAUGCUUAUCCCGCAUAAACACCUUAAACACAAGUUUUAAUGUUGAAAGAUGCCAUUUCAUCACUCAAACAUGACCCCGCGUCGUAUUAGGUAGUUGGUGAGGUACCGGCUCACCAAGGCGAUGAUACGGAGCCGACCUGAGCGGGUGGGCGGCCGCAUUGGGACGGUGACACGGCACAUACGGAUACGGGAAGCAGCAGUAGGGAAUCUGCGGGAAGGGACGAAAGUCUGACCGAGCAAGGCCGCGGGAGUGAAGAAGGAUUUCGGGUCGGAAAACUCGGUUGGUAGGGUAGAAAGUGGGUGAGAGUGGGAAGCAGAGCAAGUGACGGUAACUGCCAAGAAAGGAACGGCUAACUACGUG
rnacentral:rRNA from 1 species